rnacentral:rRNA from 1 species
AUACGGAGGGUGCGAGCGUUAAUCGGAAUUACUGGGCGUAAAGCGCGCGUAGGCGGUUUGGUCAGUCGGAUGUGAAAGCCCCAGGCUCAACCUGGGAAUGGCAUUCGAUACUGCCUGACUAGAGUAUGGUAGAGGGAAGUGGAAUUUCCGGUGUAGCGGUGAAAUGCGUAGAUAUCGGAAGGAACACCAGUGGCGAAGGCGACUUCCUGGGCCAAUACUGACGCUAAGGUGCGAAAGCGUGGGGAGCAAACAGGAUUAGAAACCCCGGUAGUCC